rnacentral:lncRNA from 1 species
AGGCCUUGAAGGUGGCCCUAUCCACAGUGACCGGAGUCCUGGGUCCUGGGAACUGGGUGAGGACCAAGGCUGUCCAUGGGCUGAGUGUCCAUGGGGAACCACGCAGGCUGUCCCAUGCACUGGCCAGCACACUGAGCAGUUUGCAGAUGCACAGUGCCAUGGCCCUGGCUGCCCUCACACCUGGG